rnacentral:rRNA from 1 species
UUCCGGUUGAUCCUGCCGGAGGCGACCGCUGUUGGAAUUCGAUUAAGCCAUGCGAGUCGAGAGUCUUAGGGACUCGGCGUACCGCUCAGUAACACGUGGGUAACCUGCCCUGUGCUGGGGGAUAACCUCGGGAAACUGAGAAUAAUACCCCAUAGUUCACCACGCCUGGAACGGUGGGUGGAUCAAAGCUCCGGCGGCACAGGAUGGGCCUGCGGCGUAUCAGGUCGUAGGGGGUGUAACGUACCCUCUAGCCUUCAACGCGUACGGGUUGUGGGAGCAAUAGCCCGGAGAUGGAUUCUGAGACACGAAUCCAGACCCUACGGGGUGCAGCAGGCGCGAAAACUUCACACUGCAGGAAACUGUGAUGAGGGAAUUCCAAGUGGCAUGACUAUGUUAUGUCUUUUACCAACUUUUAAUCGGUUGGUGAAUAAGGGGUGGGAAAGACCGGUGCCAGCCGCCGCGGUAAUACCGGCACCUCAAGUGGUCGUCGCUUUUAUUGGGCCUAAAACGUCCGUAGCCGGUCUGGUACAUUCGUGGGUAAAUCAACCGUCUUAAGCGAUUGAAUUCUGCGAGCACGGCCAGACUAGGGACUGGGAGAGGUGUGGGGUACUCUCGGGGUAGGGGUAAAAUCCUGUCAUCCCGAGGGGACCACCUGUUGCGAAGGCGCCACACUAGAACGGAUCCGACGGUCAGGGACGAAGCCUAGGGGCACGAACCGGAUUAGAUACCCGGGUAGUCCUAGGUGUAAACGCUGUGGACUUGGUGUUGGGGAUUCUACGAGUAUCCUCAGUGCCGUAGUGAAGAUGUUUAGUCCACUGCCUGGGGAGUACGGUCGCAAGGCUGAAACUUAAAGGAAUUGGCGGGGGAGCACUGCAACGAGAGGAGCGUGCGGUUUAAUUGGAUUCAACGCCGGAA